rnacentral:rRNA from 1 species
CCUACGGGGUGCUGCAGUGGGGAAUAUUGGACAAUGGGGGGAACCCUGAUCCAGCCAUGCCGCGUGUGUGAAGAAGGCCCUCGGGUUGUAAAGCACUUUCAGUGAGGAAGAACGCCUGUUGGUUAAUACCCAUCAGGAAAGACAUCACUCACAGAAGAAGCACCGGCUAACUCCGUGCCAGCAGCCGCGGUAAUACGGAGGGUGCGAGCGUUAAUCGGAAUUACUGGGCGUAAAGCGCGCGUAGGUGGCUUGAUAAGCCGGUUGUGAAAGCCCCGGGCUCAACCUGGGAACGGCAUCCGGAACUGUCAAGCUAGAGUGCAGGAGAGGAAGGUAGAAUUCCCGGUGUAGCGGUGAAAUGCGUAGAGAUCGGGAGGAAUGCCAGUGGCGAAGGCGGCCUUCUGGACUGACACUGACACUGAGGUGCGAAAGCGUGGGUAGCGAACAGGAUUAGAUACCCGGGUAGUC